GACGAACGCUGGCGGCGUGCUUAACACAUGCAAGUCGAGCGGUAAGGCCCCUUUUGGGGGGUACACGAGCGGCGAACGGGUGAGUAACACGUGGGUGACCUGCCUUCAGCUCUGGGAUAAGCCUGGGAAACUGGGUCUAAUACCGGAUAUGACCUUUGCCUGCAUGGGUGGGGGUGGAAAGAUUUGUUUUGGCUGGGGAUGGGCCUGCGGUCUAUCAGCUUGUUGGUGGGGUGAUGGCCACCAAGGCGACGACGGGUAGCCGGCCUGAGAGGGCGACCGGCCACACUGGGACUGAGACACGGCCCAGACUCCUACGGGAGGUAGCAGUGGGGAAUAUUGCGCAAUGGGCGGAAGCCUGACGCAGCGACGCCGCGUGGGGAUGACGGCCU
rnacentral:rRNA from 1 species